rnacentral:rRNA from 1 species
UACGUAGGGUGCAAGCGUUGUCCGGAAUUAUUGGGCGUAAAGAGCUCGUAGGCGGCUUGUCACGUCGACUGUGAAAACCUGGGGCUUAACUCCGGGCCUGCAGUCGAUACGGGCAAGCUAGAGUUCGGUAGGGGAGACUGGAAUUCCUGGUGUAGCGGUGAAAUGCGCAGAUAUCAGGAGGAACACCGGUGGCGAAGGCGGGUCUCUGGGCCGAUACUGACGCUGAGGAGCGAAAGCGUGGGGAGCGAACAGG